rnacentral:lncRNA from 1 species
GUACUGACAGCCUCAAAUGUGGAAAUGUCCGGGAUUUCUCCUGAGCCCUGAAGAGCCCUGGUGUCCCAACACCCCAGGAAUUGGACAGAGAAUUCUACAGUUGCCUUCGGUCUAGAUCGUGCUUUGUUCCCUUCAUUGCCCUCACUCCAGUGGCACCUCCAUCCACUCAGUUGCUCAAGCCCAAAACCCGGCAUCACCCUUGAUUAUGUUUUCCUAUUUCCGCACGUCAAAUCCGGCAGAAAGGACUGCGAGCUCUACCUCCUAAACAGACGCAGAUACUCACCUGCUUUGAUCACUGACUGUGCCCAGAAAAGCGCCUGGCUCCUAAUGCAACUGAAUAUGUAUUUGUGGAAUAAAUGAGUGUAUAUUUUAGAAAAAUCACUCUGGUAACAAUUUGGAAAAUAGACUUGAAGGGAAGAAAUCCGUGCUUUUAGAAAGUUCUCUCUGGCUAGAUGGUGCAGUGUGGAUUGGACACAGAAACCCCACAGUCUCUUGGAACACCAAACCCUGCAGGCUGUUCGAUGAGGUGAAUUCCACAUGAUUAUAGCCUAGAAGUGGCUUGGAAGCUUUCUUCACUGAGUCCGACAGGGAAAGAGUUACCCCGAGCUAACAUCUGUUGCCAGUCUUCGUCUUUUUUAUCCCUCCCCAAAGCCCCAGUGCAUGGAUGUAUAUCCUUGUUACUCAGGAUCUCAUGAAUGCAGCCUCUACUGGAAGACGUUGCACAAACGCAAUGUUCCUUGGGUGCUGAAUGUAUGUGAAUUUAUGGCGCAUGUAGUUUGCAUUUUCCUAUUAAACGGGGAACAUGUAAACAGGGCAGGUCUUCACUCAAAACAUUAUGAGACUUGCUCCAGUUUCUCCCUAACCAGAGGGUAAUUUUCUGGAAGUCAGGGCCACCUUGUGUCUCCAGAGACCAGAGGAGAGCUGAACUGAAGAGUCUGAGACAGAGCUGCAGCAAAGCCUCAGGAGCUUCCUCAGUUCUGUGCUUUUAUUAGAGAGCGGAACAGCGACCACCGUGUGGGCGGAGCAGGUCAGCUGGGACUACAUCCAAAGGAACGGCUCUGCUGCUCAAGACGUUACCAGAAUCCUAAGGUGCUGAGGGGAGGUUUCAGCGUGGCUAAAAUUCGGAAAUUGCUGAGUUCAUGCAGAAGAAUGAAGACUCAAGUCCACAGGUCCAGGGCUAGCAAGAGACGAAACCAGGGGUAGGGUCAAUGGCUUCAUAGCUGUGAGACCACUGAUACGUGCUCUUCCUUUGAAGGACGUCUUCAGCCUCAGCUGCUUUUAUCUUUUAGGUUUCUAUGGCGCAUCUCAUUGUCCUGAUCCUGAAAACGGGGAUUUGGGCACUUAAUGGGAGUUUCAUGCAGUGAAAACAUUUCUGAGUCCUCUAAGCAGAGGCACACCUUUGUUAAUGUCCAUGUCCUCAGUUAAGCCAGGGCCGGUUCCUCUAGUGGGACUGGAGGUUCAGUAAUGGGGACAAUAUCCACAGCAACCCUGGAAUACUGUAUUCCACAGGUGGCAGUGGGGGUUAUGGGAGAAAUGUCUUCUUAGGAAGAGUUUUUCCUCUCCAGGACAGGGCCAGAAAAUGAGGCCUCCAAUUAAUUAAGUUUAAGGAUUCUAAUUUAACAUUUGGGGGACACUGGUUCUUAAACAUGGAAUGGGACAAAGCACCGCAACAGUACAAGAAGCCUGUGCUCAUCAUGGAGCGUUGACAGCAUUAGAUAUUACUUUGGUCCAGGACCCAGGAAAACAUAAAUUCUGUCAUGCUCAGUCUCUUCUUUUCCUUAUUAUGUAUUUACAAAGAUAUAUGUUUACACAGAACAAAGGCAAAUUCACAUUUUAUUGUUAGCUGGGGUUGAGACCCAAUCCAAUGCAGAGAACGUUGGCUGCCGGGCUGGAGCACUUUCCUCCCCGUUUAGAACGCAAGAGCUUCAGUCAAGGGUCAAUCCAACAUGCUGGUUAACCCAAGGGCAAAGAUAAGCAGAGAGAAAGAGACUCUUCCACGUGCCACGCUGGCCUAAACGCCUGGACUGUUGCUGUUAAAUUGAUCCGUUUUUUAUUUUAUGUUUCACACCUUUUGUGUCCUGAGUAAAAAAUCUUUGCCUACUUUAAGGUCUCUAAGAUUUUCUCUUAUGUUUUCCUCCAGGAGUUUGGUAGUUUCGGUUUUAUGUUUUGUCCUAGGAUCUAUUUCAGGUUAGUUUUUGGUAUGAGGUGAGGUAAGGGUUGAGGUCCAUCUUUUCCCAUUUGAUAUCCAGUCUUUCCUGCAACAUGUGUUGAGGACUGUCCUUUCCUCACUGGAUUACCUUGGCACCUUUGUUGAAAAUCUGUGUGUGAACUAUCUAAUCUGUUCCAUUGAUCCGUUUGUCUAUCCUUACACCAAUAUCACACUGUCUGAAUUACUAUAGUUUUGAGUCUUGAAGUCAGGUAAGGUAAAUCCUCUAGCUUUGUGCUUCUUUUUCAAAAUUGUUUUGGAUAAUCUAGAUCAUUUGCAGUUCUAUAUACAUUUUAGAAUCAGUGUGUCAAUUUCUCCAAAAAAAUGACUGCUAAGGUUUUGAUGGGGGGACACUGAAUCUAUAAAUCAAUCUGGAGAGAACUGAUACCUUGCAAUUCAUGAACAUACAUUUCUCUCUCAAUUUGUUUAGGUCUUCUCAAUUUGUUACAGCAACAUUUUGUAGUUUUCACUGUACAGGUUUUGCAUAUAUGUGUUAAAUGUAUUUAAGGGUCUCUUUUCUUCAGUUACUGUAAUUGGUAUUGUUUGAG